AAGGGUAUAGCUUAAGUGGUAGAGCGCAUGCUUAGCAUGUAUAAGGUCCUGGGUUCAAUCCCCAGUACCUCUA
rnacentral:tRNA from 1 species